GAUUAAGCUACUAAGGGUAUAUGGUGGAUGUCUUGGUACUAAAAGCUGAUGAAGGACGUGGAAGGCUGCGAUAAGCUUCGGAGAGCUGUCAAACAAGCUUUGAUCCGGAGAUUUCCGAAUUGGGAAACCUGUCGUAAAGAAUGAAAUACUUCUUUUUGGUUCAUACCGCGACAUUAUUAUCUGAAUAAAUAGGAUAAUAAAAGGAACGAAGGGAACUGAAACAUCUAAGUACCUUCAGGAAAAGAAAGAAAAAUCGAUUUCCUUAGUAGCGGCGAGCGAAACGGAAAUAGCCUAAACUGGUUGUAUGUGAUAGCCCUUGUGCGUUGUAUAACCAGGGUCGUGGGGUUUACAGUAAGUGAGAUAAGGCUCCUUGGAAAAGGUAUUAUUUUUAGCCGAACAGGCAGGAAAGCCUGGCUUUAAAGGGUGAGAGUCCCGUAGGCGAAAAAAGUAAUAAAUUUUCUUGUAACACCCCAAGUAAUGUCGGUCACGUGGAAGCUGGCAUGAAUUCAGGAGGCCCACCUCCUAAGGCUAAAUACUUUUAGUAACCGAUAGUGGACAAGUAGCGUGAGUGAAAGAUGAAAAGAACCCCUGUUAGGGGAGUGAAAUAGAACCUGAAACCAUAUACUUACAAGCUGUAGGAGCACAAUGAGUAUGUAAUUUAUUAUAUACUACAGGUGUAACUGCGUACCUUUUGCAUAAUGAACCGGCGAGUUGCUAGUUGCAGCAGGUUAAACUUAAAAAAAGUGGAGCCAAAGCGAAAGCGAGUACUAACUGUGCGAUGGUUGCAAAUAGCAGACCCGAAACCGAGUGAUCUACCCUUGGUCAGGAUGAAGUUCCGGUAAGACGGAAUGGAGGUCCGAACGCGUUUACGUUGAAAAGUGAUGCGAUGAACUGAGGGGAGGAGUAAAAGUCUAAUCAAACUCGGAGAUAGCUGGUUCUCCCCGAAAUAGCUUUAGGGCUAGCCUUACGUGAAUUGAUAAUAGGGGUAGAGAUACUGAUUGAGUAUUGGGGCCCACCAGGCUACCAAACACAACCAAACUCCGAAUACUAUUAUUUUCUGCGUAGGAGUCAGACUAUGGGGGAUAAGCUCCGUAGUCAAGAGGGAAACAGCCCAGAUCAUUAGUUAAGGUCCUUAAAAUGAGCUAAGUGAAAAAGGAAGUGGAAGUGCAAAGACAGCUAGGAUGUUGGCUUAGAAGCAGCAACCAUUUAAAAAGUGCGUAAUAGCUUACUAGCCGAGUACUUUUGCGCCGAAAAUCAGCGGGACUAAGCUCAUUACCGAAACUGUGAAUCCUAAUUUAUUAGGGUGGUAGGGGAGCGUUCUAUUAUAGGUUGAAGCCUUACUGUAAAGAGAGGUGGACGAAAUAGAAGUGAGAAUGCCGGUAUAAGUAGCGAUAAUAUAAGUGAGAAUCUUAUUCGCCGAAAGCCUAAGGUUUCCUGGGGAAGGCAAAUCCGCCCAGGGUUAGCCGGUGCCUAAGUUGAGGUCGAAAGGCGUAAACGAUGGACAACAGGUUAAUAUUCCUGUGCCACCAUUAUAGCGUUUGAGCAUGGGAGGACGGGAACGUGAAGAUUAGCAAGCCCACUAGACAUGGUUUGUUUAAACCGGAGGUACUGCUUCAGGCAAAUCCGAAGCAAUAAAGUGCCGAAGGUGAUGACGUUGGCUUUAAGCCUAGAAGUAAUCCGAUCGUUCUCCAAGAAAAAUCUCGUUAGCGAGCUAUUUUGGUGACCGUACUAAAACUGACACAGGUAGGCUGGGAGAGAAUCCUAAGGCGCUCGAGAGAACCCUCGUUAAGGAACUCGGCAAAAUUGCUCCGUAACUUCGGGAUAAGGAGUGCCUUUUUGAUAGAGGUAUUUAUAUCGAUAUUAAAAAGGCCGCAGUGAAAAUGUCCGGGCGACUGUUUACUAAAAACACAGGUCUCUGCUAAGAUGUAUAAUUGACGUAUAGAGACUGACGCGUGCUCGAUGCCAGAAAGUUAAGGGGAUAGGUUAUUUGUCGAGUAAUCGAUAAAGAAGCUUAGAACUUAAGCUCUGGUGAAUGGCGGCUCUAACUAUGAGAGUCCUAAG
rnacentral:rRNA from 1 species